rnacentral:rRNA from 1 species
AUUCCGGUUGAUCCUGCCGGAGGACAUUGCUAUUGGGAUUCGAUUUAGCCAUGCUAGUCGAGCGAGUUUAGACUCGCGGCGAAUAGCUCAGUAACACGUGGCCAAGCUCCCCUUCAGUCAGCGAUACCCUCGGGAAACUGAGGUUAACAGCUGAUACAAAACGCCAGCUGGAAUGCGGCGUUUCAGAAAGACAUCGCUGAAGGAUGCGGCUGCGGCCGAUUAGGUAGACGGUGGGGUAACGGCCCACCGUGCCAGUAAUCGGUACGGGUGAUGAGAGUCAGAGCCCGGGGACGGAAUCUGAGACAAGAUUCCGGGCCCUACGGGGCGCAGCAGGCGCGAAACCUUUACACUGCACGGAAGUGCGAUAGGGGAAUCCCAAGUGCGAGGGCAUAUUAGCCCUCGCUUUUCUCGACUGUAAGGUGGUCGACGAAUAAGAGCUGGGCAAGACCGGUGCCAGCCGCCGCGGUAAUACCGGCAGCUCAAGUGAUGUCCCAUAUUAUUGGGCCUAAAGCGUCCGUAGCU